rnacentral:rRNA from 1 species
CAAUAGCGUAUAUUAAAGUUGUUGCAGUAAAAAAGCUCGUAGUUGGAUUUCUACCGAAGAUAGCCGGUCGGGUCUUCGACCUUGUAUCUGGUUUUGUCUUUGGUAUCCUCAUAGGGAACGUUUCUGCGCUUUAUUGCGUGGUGCGGUAUCUAUGACUUUUACUUUGAGGAAAUUAGAGUGUUCACGGCAGGCAAACGCCUUGAAUAUAUUAGCAUGGAAUAAUAACAUAGGAUCUUCGUCCUAUUUUGUUGGUUUCUAGGGCUAAGAUAAUGAUUAAUAGGGAUAAUUGGGGGCAUCUGUAUCAACGCGUCAGAGGUGGAAUUCUUGGAUUGCGUUGCGACAAACUACUGCGAAAGCAUUUGCCAAGGAUGUUUUCAUUGA